UCGUGCCCGUCAGGAGAGAGUGCCCCGUCCCUUGCAAGAGAGGAUGCGCGGCACCGCCGAAGGCGCAGGAACACCCGAACGCUCAGGCAAAAGGACUGGCAACCGCCC
rnacentral:ncRNA from 2 species